AACAAAAUCUAACCAAACAGAGAGCCCUAAAGCUGUUGGAGAUUUCCGGCAUAUUGGCGAGUAAAAGCUCCCAGACCCAGACACCACAGCCUCGCCAGUUACUCCGCCGCCAAAACCACUCGCCUGCUGCGGCGAGAUUUUAGAAUCUCGCUUGCCCCUCCCCCCCUCCCUCUCUCUCUCUCUCUCUCUCUCUCUCUCUCGCCCUCGAGGCAGACCCAGACGUGGAUCUGGUGAAAUCGACGGCGACGGAUUUCGGAAUCAAAACCUACGCUACAGUGCCUUGCCCUUCGUCAUCCGUCGUCGGCCGCCAUUGCCCGUGGAUCGGAUUUCGACUCCUCUCUCUUUGCUUCCACUCUCCGGCGAGUUUUCCGUGAAAGAAAAGAAUGGCAGUGUUUCAACGGCUCUCUCGAUCGCGUUUACUUUGUACCCUACACCACCACCAUCACCCGCUCUCUAAUCGUUUCUCUCACUCCAUCUUCCCUCUGCUUUCCCCUUCCUCACCCACUCCCACAACCCCUAACCCUAACCCUAGCACUGAUUCCCGCAUUCACCUCCCCAUCUCCCAAUAUGAAAAUUUCACCUCCAAAUUCAGAUUCAAUUCCAGCGUAUUAUUACUACAGAACGCAUGCAUCUCCACGUCGUCCGGCAUAGCUGAAAAGGAAGGUGGUGCUCCGAAGACCAACGGUGGCGAUGCCGGUGGUUCGAAGAAGACAGGGGAGGUGUCUUGGGUGGAUUUGUACUUGCCGGAGAAAGCCCGGCCAUAUGCCCACCUUGCUCGCUUGGAUAAGCCUAUUGGGACGUGGUUGCUUGCUUGGCCUUGCUUCUGGUCAAUUACAUUGGCAGCAUUUCCUGGUAACCUUCCUGAUAUUAAAAUGCUGACGCUAUUUGGCUGUGGGGCUUUGCUUUUAAGAGGUGCCGGGUGUACUGUUAAUGAUCUCCUUGACCGGGAUAUUGAUACCAAGGUAGAACGUACAAAAUUGAGACCAAUUGCAAGUGGAGCUUUGACACCGUUUCAAGGCAUUUGUUUUCUUGGAUUUCAAUUGCUUUUGGGCCUUGGCAUUCUCCUCCAACUGAACAAUUAUAGCCGUGUUUUGGGGGCUUCUUCCUUGCUGCUAGUCUUCUCUUAUCCCCUCAUGAAGAGGCUGACAUUUUGGCCACAAGCCUAUUUAGGUUUGACCUUCAACUGGGGAGCAUUAUUAGGAUGGUCUGCAGUUAGGGGAAGUCUUGAUCCUGCUGUUGUCUUCCCACUUUACAUUUCUGGGGUGUUCUGGACACUUGUGUAUGACACAAUAUAUGCACAUCAGGAUAAAGAAGAUGAUAUGAAAGUGGGUGUUAAAUCUACUGCCUUGCGGUUUGGGGAUUCUACUAAGGAGUGGGUUACAGGAUUUGGUAUAGCAUGCAUCAGUAGUCUUGCCCUUAGUGGAUUCUAUGCUAACAUUGGAUGGCCAUUUUACGCAUCUUUGGCAGCUGCCUCUGGUCAACUAGCAUGGCAGAUUUUUAUGGUUGAUCUUUCUUGCCGGGCUGACUGCAAUAGGAAGUGGGUAUUACAGUUUCCGCUCAACUUUUGCCUAUGGGCCAAUAUGAAAUUAUAUUGUUUUAGGCUAGUAUGGAUAUUGAAUUUUGACCGUUUGCGACACUUUGAUGAAAACAAGCUAUGAUUGACCUAGUAUUUCUUGCGAAUGAACUAUAAGUGUAUAAUUAAUUUGGUUUCUUAUGUCAUAAUUGAACUGCAGUCAUUUCUGAUUUAAUGAUAAUUAAUGACGAGUUUUGUAAAAUGAUUCCUUUUGUGCAACGUCAUUAUAAGUGGUGUUGGAGGGGUUCUUUCCUUCCCGAAUUCAAUCCAAUCACUAUUCUAAUGCUUGAGAUCAUAGCUUUCAGAAUGUUGGACAGAAUAUCUAUCUUUACCCAAUUAUAUGUUCUAAUUGUUCUCCUGGCUUCAGCGAUAGAAGCUUUCCGCAUUCCCAUCUCGCAGUCUCACCCUGGCCCACCUUCCUCCCUUGAAACCCCAAGUUUAUCUCAGUACAUCUGUUUCACUAUCUUAACUGUAUUUGUCUCCAACAAGUGGUUUGGUGCUCUUAUUUUCAGCGGUAUCUUAUUUGGAAGACUUGUAUCCUAAAGGGUUAAGGGGACUGUUGUUUAAUCAGGCAUUGGAUGGCUUUCCGAAACACCUCUGGAACCGCAGGAGACAAAUUUCAUUGCUGCCUGCAAAUAGUAGGUCACAAAAAUGUAUCUUAAACUGAUUCUAGAAGGCAUAAAAGACGGUUGCUGCUACUUUUUUAUUAGAUUUUGGAAGCUGCUUUCAGGCUGUCAGAAGUUGAUGAAUAAUGCACAUUUCUGAGGUUUGUCUGCUCUCAGUAGUUAAAGUGAGCUACAAGUUUUUGCAGAGGCUGCCGUUAUGUUUUCGCGACCAGAUUUGUGUCAAUGCAAGUGUGGUUAGGUUGGAGUCGCUGUUGUAAUACUCCCAUCAUUUUGUAGCUGAAUAUAUCGGCAAGGAAAUACAAAUGAUAAUCUUUCUUCAUUUUUUGCUUCUGGUUUUCUGGGCAGUUAGUACUGGAAGUUGGGGAAAUGCAUUUGGUGCCUUAACUCCAAGCGUUCUCCUCAGGUCUUCUUGUACAACGAAGUAGUUGAAUGUCUGCUUUUUGGAUUUCUGAAUCCUCCCUUUUGAUGGAGCCCUUUCUUUUUGGUUUCUAGAUAUUGGAAAGUUGUUUGUGAA